AAGCUGUAGUAAAAAAAUUUGUACUAAACAUACUAUAUUAUGUGUUCCCUGUGUAGAUCUACUCAUGUAGAGUCCAACAAAAUUAGAUUUUCUAUUUUAUGAUUUUCCUGUGGUUUACUAUGAUUUUUCAAAAAUGUAGCAAAAAUAAAUAAAAAAGACAAAGCCACCAUCACCGUAGCAAAACCACCAUUCAAAACCGCUCAAGGGUUUUACUUGACCGGUUUUGGAAAGUUCAUGGGGUAGAAAAUCCAGUUUUAUAGUUCAGAGGGUGAAGUAGUCCACCUAUAUAGUUGAGGAGUUGUGUAGACUUUUCCAUAUUUUAUACAUAUUCUCUUUAUAUAAUUAAAAUAAAUAAGCUUCAAAAGUAAAUCAUUCGUGUCUGUUCGGAUGCUUAUGUGGUCCAUUAUGAUUUUGUCCAGUCGGUGAUAUAUACAUGUGGCCCAGAAAGAAUAAAAAAAGAAAAGAAAAGAGGAGAAGGCUUACCUGGUGAACCUUCGGCCGAGGCCCAGCCAGCGACCCCGCGCGGCCCAACUUCUUUCUCGGCCCAGGAGCGCGUGCACUCCCUCCCCUCCCUCCUUUCUGCUGCUGACAGCCGGGCCCCACCCCUUCUCUCCCUGCCACGCGGGACCCACCGAGACGGCGCCCUCCCCUUCCCUUCCCUAUUCGUAACCGAGCAGGACUCCUGGGAGAAGAUCAAAUCCGCGAUUCCUUGCCUAAGGAGCAAAUCGAGCACGAUAAAGCCUGUUCCCAACCCCCGCAGCUUCCCCUUUUCAUCUACAUCGCGAAACCAAGCCCUAGCCACCUUAAACCGUGUGGUUUCGGAUCUCGUCGGGGCCGUUCUUGCUCUUCUCCGCGGCGGGCGCUCUCUGCUACCUUCCGGCCCGAGCUAAGUGCCUUGGUGAGCUCGCCUUUUCCUCCUCUG
rnacentral:lncRNA from 1 species